AAAUAGAAAAUAAAAAAAUCUUUAAGAAUAGUGAUGAGCAAUAAAUAAGAACACUAUUUAGAUGUGUGCAAUAUGUGCAUAUUUUAGAAGUUGUAGUUAUCUGUCCAAGUGAGAAUAACAGAAUAAAGGCAACAAUUUGGCUUCCAAGAGACAGAAAAACUGUGUCAUAUACAUGUGAGACUACAACCCCUUUAAAAAAAAAGCUAUCAUUAAUUAUUAUUAUUUUGUUUUAAAACUAAUUUUCACCAAGUUAUGUCUUGCAUUAUUGCAUGCAUCUUCAGUUACUAUGAUAGAUCUUUUGUUUUUCCAUAAACAAAACAGGAAUUUAAAAAGCACAGAACAAAACUAAUUACUUUCAUUGAUAAAUUCAUCUCAGUACACCUAGAGCCAAUGACAAGGAUUUGGUGAGAUUGUUUUAUAACCAUUUAAUCUAAUGAGCUUUGGAAUAUUUUCUAAUGCUUCUGGCCUCUAGUCAUUCAACAUAUUUCUAUGAUACUUUGGUGUCAACAAACUUUUAUGGACAACCCCUACUGCAUCAUUUCAAAGAAUAAUAAAAAUAUCCAUCAAUUUUACAAUUAGUAUUCCGAUAUCUACCCAUCGUCAAAAAGAGGAGAUGAAAGGAAACAUACUGGGUGGAAAUUGCUAGCCUGCAUAAUGAACAUUUUAACAGGAAGGAGUUUGCUGGAACAAUUAAAAUUUAAUUGUAAACAAAUGAUUUUAAAAUGAGUGCUAGUUUAUUUUUUUUAUUUUUUUCAGGGCAAAAGAUAAACAAAGUUUAAAUAAACAAAGUUUCUGCUGACAUCAAAAUGAUCAUAAGGCAGAUAAAAGUUCACCCUUUUGUGACUAAUGAAGAUGUUUUGUCUGUGUCAUUACCAAGCAACAAAUAAGAUGUUGAUAGACUUAUGAACAUUCUCUAACUCCAAGUAAAUAUUUCUAUAAGCAGUCCUAUGAACCAAGAAACAUUCAGUCCAUUCAGCAUAGAGACACAUCCAGCAUGAUAAGAAAGACUCAGUCCAUUCAGCAUAGAGACACAUCCAACGAGAUAAGAAACAUUCAGUUCAUUCAGCAUAGAGACACAUCUAACAAGAUAAGAAACAUUCAGUGCAGUCAGCAUAGAGAAACAUCCAACAAGAUAAGAAACACUCAGUCCAUUCAGCAUAUAGACACAUGCUACAAGAUAAGAAACAUUCAGUCCAUUCAGCAUAGAGACACAUGGUACAAGAUAAGAAACAUUCAGUCCAUUCAGCAUAGAGACACAUCCAACAAGAUAAGAAACAUUCAGUCCAUUCAGCAUAGAGACACAUCCAACAAGAUAAGAAACAUUCAGUCCAUUCAGCAUAGAGACACAUUCAACAAGAUAAGAAACAUUCAGUCCAUUCAGCAUAGAGACACAUCCAACAAGAUAAGAAACAUUCAGCCCAUUCAGCAUAGAGACACAUCCAACAAGAUAAGAAACAUUCAGCCCAGUCAGCAUAUAGAACAUCCAACAAGAUAAGAAACAUUCAGACCAGUCAGCAUACAGACUUAUCCAACAAGAUAAGAAACAUUCAGUCUAGUAAGCAUAGAGACACAUCAACCAAGAUAAGAAACAUUCAGCCCAGUCAGCAUAUAGACACAUGCUACAAGAUAAGAAACAUUCAGUCCAUUCAGCAUAGAGACACAUGCUACAAGAUAAGAAACAUUCAGUCCAUUCAGCAUAGAGACACAUGCUACAAGAUAGGAAACAUUCAGUCCAUUCAGCAUAGAGACACAUCCAACAAGAUAAGAAACAUUCAGCCCAGUCGGCAUAGAGACACAUUCAACAAGAUAUGAAACAUUCAGUCCAGUCCUACAAGAUAAGAAACAUUCAGGUUGUAACCUCUCUCUCAUCUCUAGCACACAGUCACCAAACACAAACCAAGCACAUUAAGUCUUUAGAUACCACUCAGCCACCAGAACUCAAGCUUCAAAUAAAACCUUCAGCCCACAAAUACUAGACCACACUAUCACCAAACAUACAUAUAAACACAAAUCAAGUCAGUCUUUCUUGUUAAAAAGUAUUUUAAAUACAUUUAUUAUCAGGGCACUUUAAAAAAAAAAAAGCUAUCAAAAGAACAAUGUAAACUAUGGUCUCACCUUAAUUUCAAAAAAAAGGAAGAAAAAAUUAAAACAAAGAUGAUACAAGUGAAACAAGUUCAAGACAGAAUGGAACUAAACAGAAAAAAAAUAGUAAAGCUUUUCUAAACUACGGCUUAUAAAUUCGCCUAAUAUUAGCUUUCAAGUAUAAUAGUGUGAUAAGAGUUGAGGCCAAGCAGUGUAAAGAAGUAGGCCACAAGACUUACAGAAUGGAUGCUGGCUGUUUUCAAACAUUUUUUUUUCCCUUUAAUGUCAUGGUUAAUUUAUGAGUAGGCAGUAACACACUGGAAGUACAGGUAGCUAGAGGCACAUGAGGAUGUAGGAACCUGUCCUUUAGAUUCUUACAUCAGUAACUAGCUAGAUGUGGACAAUGUAAUAAAGAAACACAGGUGUUGUCACAACCUUGCAGUAAUAGGCAUUUUAAAAAAUCAGCCCAAGUUUCUAAAGCUACAGCAAUUAAUAACAGUAUUACAUCCCCCUUAUAGAGAAAUGUUCCUUCAAAAUUGAAUCUAUAUAUAUAUAAUUCUCUUCAUGGCUCAAGAGUUUGGACACCACGUAAUGGAAAGAUCACUCUUUUAUUUUUGCAAGUCAGACGAACUAGAGUUACCCUACGUAAUUUAAGAAGUGAAAAACAAAGAGAGGGGGGGGGGGAGAACAAGUAGUAUUCAACCGUCACUAUUUAACAGGGCCAGACUUAACCAUUGUGACCGAGAAGUCAUGGAAAGAGAACAAGUAAUCUACUCUGUAUUCACCCGCCACUAAAUAACAGGGCCGGACUUAACCAUUGUGGAGCCCUAUGCGAAACGGAUUUCGAGGGGGCCAAGUUUGGGUAGGGAUAUGGAUAAUAAGAGUUUGUAUUAGAAAAUAAAUUCGUCUUUGCAUUUUAUUCAUUCUUUACUGCACACAGAAUUACUUUGCGAGCUUUGCGUGUAGCGAAGUCGUACAGCAUAUCCUAAAAAUUCUCUUUCCUACAUAGAUCACGCUCAAUAGCAAGAAUUACCAAAUGUUUCAAUCUAUCUAUGAGAACUGUUGACCUCAAGUAAUUCUUCAUUAGUUUGAGGCGCGAAAAGCUUCUUUCACUAGAUUCCACAAUUAUGGGUAAUGCAUAUGCCGUUUUUUUUUAUCGUGCGUAGGAUUGGCUUUUUCCAUAUUGAAUGACACCCCAAAAUGACAAUUUUUGUUUAUAUAUUUCAGGAGAUUUGUAUGAGUUUUCAAAAGAUUUUAAUAAUUUCUGGAUAUUUCCAGGACUUUUUCAUAUAUUUUGCAAUUUCAAAAGAUUUCCAGGAGUUCCUGGUAAAUCGACAGGUUGUCGAGGGAAAUCUGUUAUAAGUUAUAAAAUGGUUUAAUUUAAUAAUUUAUACACCUAGAAUUAGCGCUAUUCCCAUGAAAGUGCGGAGCCACUGCCGUCACUAAGGCCGGCCCUGCAAAAUAACUGUGCAUGCUACGACGCCAGUCGACUAGUAUUAUUUAUUCCUAACACAAGUCUCCUGCAGCAGGCAUUGCUUGAACCCAGGACCAUGGAGACAACAGUCCACAGAGCAUGCCACACGACCUGAUGAGGGGGGAGGGGGAAGAUGAAAACUUAUAUGAAGAUGCUAUUAUACCAAUCUAUAAUAUAAAGAAAAGAAAAUCUUAAUCGACCAGCGGCAGACAAUGGUUAUACUUGUCCUGUAUGGCAAAAUAUGUAGGUCACAGCUGGGGCUGCAUAGCCACUGGAAAUACUGCACUACUCAUUAAUCUUCGGACUCAAAGACAAGCCUUAUUAUUAUUAAUAUAAAGGCACAUGUCUUUGUGCAUGUACUUGUGUAUAAAAAUCAAAACCUCUUGACCAAUCUUGACAAAACUUGGCAUAAAUGUUCCUUAGAUCAUGGAAGAAAUGGUAGUGUAUGUUUAAUGUCCCUCCCACAACUGGAGGGCCCUAAAAAUAGGCAAAAAGUACCUAAUUGUUCUCUAUUAAAGAUCAAAACUUUUUAACAAAUCGGGUAAACCCAUUUUCACCCUUUUUUGUAUUUGAUAUGAAUAUGUUGACCGAACGGGUAAAGCCAUUUUCACAAACUACUUUUAUUUUCAUGGCAAACAUUCUCCAUGUUUAACAUAGAUCUAAAUCCAAUCCAGUAAUCAGUAAUACCCAAACUAAAGCCCGCAGGCCUCGGGUCAUAUCUGGCUAGUCAAAAAUAUAAACAUCAAUAACAAUGCUUUGUUUUAGGAAGGGAAUUCAACAAGGAAUUCACUGAGAACAUUUUCCUUCUCUCAUCAGAAACAAACAAGAAAAAAAAAAUAUAUAUUUAAAAAAAUAUAUAUAUAGAAUAGAAAAAAAAAACAGUAUACCAGGAUGUAAAUAGGCAUGUUAGAAUAAAAACAGUAUAUUAUUUUCCAUUUUCUUUUUCAAAUUAUUUAUGUGAAAUUCUUUCCCCUGUAUGUUUUAUUUAGUUCUGGAAUGUUUAAAACAUUUGACUAGGGAUCAAGAAUAUUAUACAAUAGGUUUAUAAACAUCAGGUACUUUUGGCCAAGCAGCUAUCUCAAGGAUUUUAGGGCACAUAAAUUCCACCAAGUUCUCAUGAAAGUAUACCCAGCUCUCAUGAAAUUCUACGCAGCUCUCAUUAUUUAUAUAGGGAAAGCCAAGCUAAGUGGACAUUAUACUGACGCUCAUUAACUGUUGUCUACAGAUUGUCACAGAAACAAACAUGAACAAAUGGACUGAUAAAAUAAAAA